AAUGAACGUUGGCGGCGUGGAUUAGGCAUGCAAGUCGAGCGAGAAUUGGUCCUCGGAUCGAGGACAGCGGCGAACGGGGUAGGAAUACCUCGGUGACGUACCCCCAGGUCGGGGAUAGCGGCGGGAAACUGCCGGUAAUACCCGAUGACCUUCCCAAGUUUUACGACAGGGGAAGCAAAGGUGUGAUUCCGUCUGGGGAGCGGCUGAGGUCGUAUUAGCUGGUUGGUGAGGUAAUGGCUCACCAAGGCAAUGAUGCGUAGGGGGUGUGAGAGCAUGGCCCCCACCACUGGCACUGAGACACUGGCCAGACACCUACGGGUGGCUGCAGUCGAGAAUCUUCGGCAAUGGGCGCAAGCCUGACCGAGCGACGCCGCGUGCGGGAUGAAGGUCUUCGGAUUGUAAACCGCUGUCGGAGGGGAUGAAGUGCAGGGGGGUACUCCCCCCUGUUUGACAGAGCCUCGGAGGAAGCACGGGCUAAGUUCGUGCCAGCCGCCGCAGUAAGAC
rnacentral:rRNA from 1 species